rnacentral:lncRNA from 1 species
UGAAAAUAGGCUACAAAGUUCUUGGUAAACAUUAAUGCAAAACUCAACAGAGUAACCUGAAAUCAAAUGUGUGGCUAUACAAGCAUUUAUUCAUGUUUGAACUGUUUUUUUUACAUUUUUGCUUGAGUUAUGAACAUUAUAAAUUGAAGUACAA